rnacentral:rRNA from 1 species
CCUACGGGAGGCAGCAGUGGGGAAUUUUGGACGAUGGGCGCAAGCCUGAUCCAGCAAUGCCGCGUGAGUGAAGAAGGCCUUCGGGUUGUAAAGCUCUUUUGUCAGGGAAGAAACGGUCGAGGUUAAUACCUUCGGCUACUGACGGUACCUGAAGAAUAAGCACCGGCUAACUACGUGCCAGCAGCCGCGGUAAU